ACUCAAAGGAAUUGACGGGGGCUCGCACAAGCGGUGGAUCAUGGGGCUUAAUUCGUCACCAAGCGAGGAACCUUACCAAGGCUAGAAAUCUUACUGCACGCCCGGUGAAAGCCGGGAAGCCUUCGAGGGUGUAAGACAGGUGAUGCAUGGCCGUCGUCAGUUCGUGGCUUGAGCUGUUCCCUUAAGUGGGGAAACGAACGCAACCCUCGUUGCCUGUUACAAGUGUCAGGCGAGACUGCUCCCUCACGGGAGAGGAAGGUGAGGAUGACGCCAGGUCAGCAUGUCCCUAGAUGCCUUGGGCUGCACCCGUGAUACAAUGGAUGGUACAACGAGACGCAAUGCGGUAACGCGGAGCAAAUCUUUAGAAAACCAUCCUCAAUUCGGAUUGAGGUCUGCAACUCGACCUCAUGAAGACGGAAUCGCUAGUAAUCGUGGAUCAGCAACGCCACGGUGAAUACGUUCCCGAGCCUUGUACACACCGCCCGU
rnacentral:rRNA from 1 species